CUCGCUUUAAGGACAAACAGAAUAAAGACUUCAUGUUU
rfam:Cavia porcellus supercont2_12 genomic scaffold, whole genome shotgun sequence.